rnacentral:lncRNA from 1 species
UCAUUCUUACAGAAACGCCCUGCAGAAGCGGAUGGAGACGCCCUAGAUGAUGGAGCGCGAUUGAGGUGGACUCCUCCUAGAAUCCAGCCCGUCGGUGGCGGUGGUGGUGGAGGCGGAAGCGGAGCCUUCUCCAGGUGCGUGAUCCUCGCCGCGGUCUCCACUGUCUUGGAGAGAAGCGUGCCCAGCGACUUGUCGGUGGUAGCUCGCCACACCUCGAAUCCCGUUCAUCUUGUCCAGCAUCUGCUGCAUCAUCUCCAUGAUGUUCUCGACAUUGCUCGCCAUAUUCGCCUGCAACGAUGGGGUCUUCUUCUUCGGCGCCAGCCCGGAGUCGACGAAGAGAGCGGAAAAAAAAAUUCCGGCCGAGGAUUGAGGGCUCUCGAUACCAAGGCCUUGUUAUUUAGUUCAAAAAAAAUUUUGCAAAAUUUUUCAAAUUCCCCGUCACAUCGAAUCUUUAGACGUAUGCAUGAAGUAUUAAAUAUAGACGAAAAUAAAAACUAAUUACAAUAGUUCGGUCGGAAUUGACGAGACGAAUCUUUUGAGCCUAGUUAGUUUAUGAUUGGACAAUAUUUGUCAAAUACAAACGAAAUUAGUACUAUUUAUAUUUUGCAAAAUAUUUUGGAACUAAACAAGACCCAAUUGUUCUUCGAUAGCUUUGUACACCAACCCCGUCGAGGCCCUACGCCUACUCGGGCAAAGCCCAGAAUACAAGCCCACAUCACGAUAGACUACACUAGCCACUCUUGGUGCUUCUCCUGAAUAUCUUUACGGGCCUUAUCUUGAUCAUGACAAACUAUGUAGAAAAACACUGUCUUUUGGAUUUUACCAUAACGUUAUCACAGGCAUACUACUAGAGUUGUAAACAAAUGUGCCACAUUUGAAGUAUGAACACUUAACUAAAUCCUGAUCUGGGCGGCCAUGAUCGUAAACAUAUAUUCCCUCGAUUAUAGAAUAAGGUAUCAUAAUAAUUCUAGCUUGUAUUAUUGCGUAAGGCAAACAACACAUGUAACCCUCUGAUCAACUUAAUCAUCGAGAGAGAUUGUGAUUGGGUUGGUGAUAGAUAUCUAUGGUAGGAUAAAGUCCACUUCUGGAUCAUCAACUUACAUGACGUCUGAUUUUCUACCCUUGAACUAAGAAGCUGGGCACCAUAUAGUUUGAAAGGUUGUUGUCUGUUUUCUGAAGUAAUACAAUUCUGGUGUAUUAUCUAAAUGUAUUAUAAAACUAGAGAAUUGGAAAGACGUAGUGCCAAUCUUCUUAGAAAGUCUUAUCUAUCUGUCAUUGAUCCACUUAGUGUUAUUUGGAAGUUGUGUGGCUAUAUAUGAGCAACUAAAUAAUAGGAAUAUAAAUAAAAAGAUUCAGAUAAUAACUCUAGACCACCAAUAGAUAGGUAAUAUUUUUAGGAAAAAAUAUAACUAAUUAUAUAUCUUUUAUGUUUUAGAUAUAACUUUUAGAGUUUAAUCGAGAGUUUAUUAUUUUAGAAAGUAGAAAGCUGCCUUGAAAUCACAUCGGACAGGUUGGGGAUGGUGUUUCCUACAAUUUCGAUAGUUAGACGGUGUUGGCACUGGACUCCUCUUCGGCGUGUGUGCGCUUUGAUGGCUCCUGUGUGUGGCUCUGUGCACUCCUCUCACGUAAUGUGGUUGUCCAGUAACGUGAGUUGUUUACCUUUCUUCUCUCUCAUGUCUACUUUCUUCUUUUUUCUGAACUAACGAAACAUGCCCGUGCGUUACAACGAGAUUUAAUAUAUUUUGAAAUUAGAUUCUAUAUUGUGGCUAGAUGUGAGCUGUCAUAACUUGUACGAGAAUGAGAUAUUAGGUUCAUAUCUUAUCACAUACAAGAUGUAUAAGACGCGAUGGCAGUUUGAGAUUAAAAAAUAGAUCCUCAAUACAAAGAUGCAAGGACACUAAGAAUUUUAAAAAAGUAAGUUUUUAAUACAUUUUGGAUGAGAGAAUCGUUACAUCACUGGACGUGAAUUGCUCUGUUUAUAUAAAUACGAGUUAUAGAUCCAAGUCACACAGGAGAUAUGGAGCUAAAACAUUAUUGGUAUAGUAUAUCUAUAUACCUAAUAUUUUUUUCACCAAAGCUAUAUUUACGUUUUUGUUCUUAGAAAACUCACCUAGCAUGUGAAAAGCUUAGCAUCAUCAGGCUUAAUCACAUCACCGCUCUUUCAUGUUCCUCUCUCAAUUCUUGUUCCGUCCUAGCCUUGUAACACUUUCACGUGAGUAGCAGCAUAUAAUCUCUCUUAUGGUCUCCAUUUAUUUUUAUGUGAAAAAUUAGGAUUAGCCUAAUUCAGGAUAAUGUACUUAAAAUUUAAACAAUGCAUAAUUAUAAAUGAUAGCUAUUUUUUUGAUAGGAAAAUGAGAGCUAAUUGAAAAAUGCAUAAAAAACGAAAUCUUAUUCAGCACAGUUGACUACCUUUUAUUUUUUUCUUCUUUAAUUAUCGAAACAACCGCACGCCUCUUCUUUUCCUUGUAUUUUUUGUCUCCCAUAUUAUUUCAUCUUGUCCACAAAACCGUAGGUCCUUAUCUGCAUCGUUCGUCUAAGCGUUUCUUCUACCUCCGGUUCUUCUUUAACGGGCCGCCAUGCCUCGAUGUCGGUUCCCGUGUCGCCUCUAGCUCCAUGCCCCGAUGUACCCUCGCCCUUCCCUCCCCAAAUCAGUGCCCCUCACCCCUCUUCCUCCCUGUGGCGCCGCCGCCUCCCAUCCCCAAAUUAGUGCCAUGCCAAAGCGGACCAAGGACACGGGCUGGGGCCAUGGGGACGAGAAGGAGCCGAGCGAAGUUGUUUUUUUUUUGGCUCUAGGUGCGCAUUCUAGCUCUAGUCAGCAGAUAGGCUGGGCACUUUUAAGCCGAAAAACAAAAACCACACCGAACCCAACCAAACUGGAUCCAAAAUAUCGGUUUUUAUGGUUAGCAGUAUCGGUUACGGUUCUAGUACCUGGGAUGUUCAGUGAUCGGCUUCAGCUUUGGUUUCGCUAGCCGACCAAACCGAGAAGCCAUGAAACCGAGCAAACAGUGACAAGUCAUGAGUCCUCAUCCAUCUCCAUGUCAGUGCUCUCGCUCUGUAAGCCUAAGUCACGCCGAAGGCCGAUCUCAAGUCAGCCCAUCACCAAUUUACCAUCCCUUACUCACCCAAUCACCUACCUUCACCUUAUCCUUUCGUGGCACAACUGCACGAGCACGAGCGAGUACACAGACAGCGAGCCGCUGAGUAGAAAUUGAAUCGAAGUGGCGGCGCAUCGAUAACGAGCGGGAUGGCGCGGUCGCGACGCUGCGUCGCCUGUGUGGCUACGCAUCGACGGGCGCGCCAGCUGCGGGCCGUAAUCGGCGCCGCCUCCUCCUCCCCGCCGAAGCUGAUCACGGGCCCACCGCCGGGGCCAUAGGGCCCCAACGGGAUGCCAGUGAACUGCUGCACCAUGGCGCGGAUGUUGGAGGUGUCCGUGUUGAGCAGCGUGAUGGGCGUGUGGCGGGACACGCGGGCUUCCCUACGCGCCCGCCCUCCACCCUCCUGACCCCGGGCGGCUGCUGCUGCUGCGGCUGCGUGCGGGUCGGGCUGCCGCCACUGGACCCGCCGUACCACUUGGGGGAGCUCCAUCCGACCCAUCCACACCUUCUCCACCGUCGAGGACUUCUGGGUGUGCAUCCUAUUCUCUCCCUUCCUCCCCCUCCAUCGCAAACCCCUGUCUCACGGAUCUGUGAUCUUAGAUUAGUUGAUUGAUUGAUGCAUCAAUUUCUCACUCUGCUUAUUCGAUAGCUUCUUUCUACCCAGAGUUCUUUGAUUAAAUCUGUGCUCUUGUUUUGAUCUCGAUCUGUUGCAGGCUGUCCUCAGUUUGGUUCUCUUGCAUCUGGUGGUGUUGAUUCGAUUUUCCCUAUGUCUUCGAUUGUUGGAUUCCUGUGUUGAGAACGAUCUGGACUUCGGCAGGUCCGUGGACUCACAGACGGACGUCGUGCUGUGUUCAGAUACAAUUUAUUUUGUUUGUUUUCUUUUUGCAUUGUUAUGGAAUAGGUUGAGGGUAGACGAAAAUUUUCACCAGACAAAAAUUUUGGCUGAAAUUUUGGCUCUUUAGUAUUAGGUAUAUAUAGAUAUAGAUAUAGAUAUAGAUAUAGAUAUGAGUUAUUCUCCUUUGUGGGCUGUUCUCCUUUUUUCUUUGUUUUUUCUUCUUUCUCACGUGUACUUUUCUUUGAGCCGGUCUAUUCUAUGAGUUUUUCUUUCUCAGAACAGCGGGGAUGUGGAUGAGAAAAAGAGCAGGAGGAUAGUUUCAUAUAAAAGUACUAUUUUUAAAUUUCAUAUAUCUCAUUUUUCAUAUACUUUAUACAGAGUUAACAAUUCAACCUGUAAAAAAAAUAAAACUUUUGAUUAUUAAAAUUUAAAAAAUCCAAGAAAAAUGAGUACAUCAUAUUUGUAGAAGAUGAAAAAUAGGUACAAAUAAAAAGCACUUGUGGGUUCUGUUCUUUGGGACCAAAGAAAAUUGCCACAAAUACCCUAGAAGGUAAACAUAUUUUAAAAGAUACGUAAACUUAAAAAUUCCUAAUGUAAGACUCCAAGUUUUGAAAAACUUUGUACUACAACAUUUAAAAUUUUAUACUCCUAAGUGCAAAACUUUAUCAUCACGAAAAUUGUUUCAAAACAUAUUCAACAUGGAUCUACUUUUAUAGAUCUCGUCAAAAUGAAUGUAAUGGUACAAACAGAAUUAAAAAUAAAUGCUUGACAAGAAAGUUAUCACAUUUUAAAGUUUUGUAUACCAUAUGCAUAUUUCGUAUAAAUAUGAUAUGACACACGAAUGCGCCUCCUACCCUCUCCCGCACGUCCACACUCCACGAUCAGUGACAGGAAAAGAAAAGAAAAUAAAUACAAAAUAGAAAGUGGAUAACCAAAAUAGAAAGUGGAUACAUAGUAUUCGCAACAAGUGACAAUAAGAAGAAAGAAAAAAGAAGUAUGCACUGGAAGGUCGCUUGGCGCACACGCGUUAUAUAAGUACCUUGUUUCGAAGUUUAAGGUUGAAAAUCAGACUUGUGCAAUUCUGGAGUUUGAAAAUGAAAGCAACUCUGAGAGUAUCCAAUAUUUUCUCCUAAAAACAUUGUCACACGCAAAUUUCAGGGACGAAAUAGGAUGCAUAAAGGAUUCAUGUGCACUCUAGAAAUAAUCGCACAUAUAAGUAGACAAAUCUCAAAUAGUACCAUCACAAUGUUUAUUACAGAACGGAUAAAUAUUCAUCACAUAGUCUUAAACAAUAAUAAUAGUUCUAAUAAAUAAAAUCUUGAC